rfam:Nematostella vectensis strain CH2 x CH6 NEMVEscaffold_15_Cont2993, whole genome shotgun sequence.
GCACUGGUGGGUCAGUGGUAGAAUUCUCGCCUGCCACGCGGGAGGCCCGGGUUCGAUUUCCGGCCAGUGCA